UGCUGACGGAGUCACACCUGAAGCGCAGGAUUUUAGCUGCUGGUGGUUCAGUGGUUGAAUGCCCCCCAGAAAAGGAGCAACUGAUUACUGCCACAGGCUUGCACCAGUUGCACAUUCUGAUGUUCUUUUUGGCUGUGUUUCAUGUGGUAAAUAGUGGUCUUAUAAUGGUCCUUGGAAGAGCAAAGGUGAAUCUGCAGUGACAGAGUAGUGGAUUACAUUAUGUAUCAUUCUGAAUAAUUCCAUAGCAUUGCCUGAGGAUGAUUUAGUUUAGCUGUUGCAGUAUCCACUUUGCAUUGAUAAUCUUCUCUUGGGCAGAUACACAGAUGGAAGGACUGGGAAAAGGAUACGACAUCGGCUGAGUAUGCCUUCACGACUGGUAUAUAUAUGUUCACUAUUCUUUGUUUUUUUGUCCCAGAUUUGCAUCCUUGGAUCCUAGUUUGAGUGGUAAAAGUGCAGAACCAGUAUAUCGUGAUGCAAAAGGGAAAGCUAUUUCAAAGGAAGAGCUACUGAAACCAAAGGAGGAAGAGAAACCAAAGUUUACAAAUCUCAAGUACUCCAGAGUUGAAAUUGAUGAAGUGCGGUUCGAGUGGG